rnacentral:tRNA from 1 species
GGAAAGAUGGUCGAGUGGUCGAAGGCACAUGCUUGGAGAGCAUGCGUACGGGAAACUGUACCGUGGGUUCGAAUCCCACUCUUUCCGCCA